rnacentral:tRNA from 1 species
GCCGGCGCGGCCGAACAGGCAGACGCACAGGACUUAAAAUCCUGCGCGCCUUAUACUCCCGUACCGGUUCGAUUCCGGUCGCCGGCA